ensembl:lincRNA 1810058I24Rik RIKEN cDNA 1810058I24 gene
GGGGCGUAAACCGGAACCUGGCAGCGGGUUCCGCCCUCGCGCCGGGGAGGAGUCCCGGAGCCGAGCUGGAGCUGGAGCACCUCUCACACCCUCCUCGCCCUCCCCACCGACAUCAUGCUCCAGUUCCUGCUUGGAUUUACUUUGGGCAACGUGGUUGGAAUGUAUCUGGCUCAGAACUAUGAAAUGCCAAACCUGGCUAAAAAACUUGAAGAGAUUAAGAAGGACCUGGAAGCCAAGAAGAAGCCCCCUAGUUCCUGAUGCCUGCCUGGCACUGCAAUCUGGACCCACCAGUUCCAUCCUGGGGGGCCUGUCUCCUUCACAGCCACGUCCAAAGCUGUGUUCCUCUUUGGUCUCAGACCCUGCGCGUUGCUGAGGCUCCAGCACGGGCCAGAAGUGGAGUUAGCUUUCCGUUUCCAGCAUCUCCCCGUUCCCGUAUCUUCCGUCCACCUGCUUCUGAGACCUAAGCCUGGAACCAUGGUGCUAGGUUAGCAGCCGCAACCAUGACAGGACUCACUCGCCUGUGCUCUGGGAUUCCUACCGCCUACUGUCAAGAAAUGAAUGGAUUUGGAUAGCUGCUGGGGACUCACUGUCUAGCAGUGAUAACAGGAGCUUGCUAGACAAACUAAACUGUGUUAAAGUCAUUAAAGUCAGUAUCUUCAAGCCAGUUUCUGGUGAAUUAAUCCAUUUAUUAUAUAUUGUUACCAAGGAGCUCCAUGGUUGAUGAUUUAACCAGUAAAUCAUUUGCUGGUCAUUAACCAGGAAACUAUUUUAUGCAUUCUAUAAAAAGCAAACAAACUGGGAAAACUUAAAACAUGCAAAGUAACUGUUGUCUUCGUACAGUUCAGUCUAUGCAGUCUAUGUUUUUCCUUAAUGAUAUAUUUGAACUGAAUCUGCCGUAAAAGAGCCAUUCUUUAUGCUGGCACUUGAUAGGAUGGGUGGAUAAAUGAGGAGCUGUUGAUAAAAUAAUGUUACUUUUUUUUUUUUAAACAUUAAAAUGUAUCCUAAUUAUAUAACUUCAUAGUGAACCCCCUAAGAGAAGUGUGGUGCAAAUGUGUGGUAAAGUGAGUCUCUCUGGGAUCUGGGAUCUGAUNNNNNNNNNNNNNNNNNNNNNNNNNNNNNNNNNNNNNNNNCGGAAGCAGGACGGACCAUCAGGCGUCAGCAACUUCAUUUUUUUUAAAGACAGUCUCCCAGUGUUACCCAGGGUGGUCUCAAGCUCCUGGGCUCAAGUAAUCCUCCUGCCUCAGCUUCCGGGUGCUGGGACCACAGGUGUGCACCAUGGUGUCCAGCCUAGUCCGUAAUGUUUUUAAUUAAAAAAUAUUUAAAAAUUAUUCCCACAGGAGAUGAUAGGAAAGUGAUUUCACAUGAAGACUCUUUCUAGCCUCUGUCUUAUUCCCAGGUACAAUUCCUCAGGCAAUCCCUGGUGUCAGGUUCCUGUGUGCCUUUGAGAAGGAGUGUCUAACCACAUAAGUGUUUUCGUCUUUUGUUACAUACAUACAUACAUACAUACAUACAUACAUACAUACAUACAUACACACACACAGUAUGUAUGUAUUGUGUGUGUGUGUGUACACAUAUGCUUUUUGUCUCUUCCUAUCACUUUUGUUUUUGCACAGAGUCAUGACGCCCACGCUUUUACAGUCAGUGAUAACAUUGAAUUUCUGACCCUCCUGCCUCUGCCUCUCAGGUGCAGGGAUCGUAGGUGUGCACUGCCAUGCCCAACUGUGCUUUUUAAAGCUCUUUUUCUUUUCUUUCAUUUGCUUGUUUUUUUGAGAUAGGGUAGCCCCAGCUGGCCUGGAACUCACUCUGUAGACCAGGCUGGCUUCAUACUCCCAGAGAUCCGUCUGCCCUUUGCCUCCUGAGUGCUGGGAUUGAAGGUGGCUCCAUCAUGCUUGGCUUGCUUCUUUAUUCUUAAUGGAGAGCAUCCCCCUUCCGUCAGUACGUUAACCUUCCCCCUUUGUUUACUGUGCGCGGUUCCACUGAAUGGGUGUUUCAUAAUUGAAUGUGCUAAUGCUGAGUGCUUAGGCUGGUCUUCUGCUGGUGUGGUGCUAGCACUGAACCUGCUGCCCAUAUCUGCCCAGAGUAGAGCUAUAGGAUAACGACUCACAGUCUAGUUUGCUAAGACACGGUGUGUCUCGUUUCAGAGGGCUUAUUGGGCAACUUCCCUGACAAUGAAUGCCUUUUUUGAAGACCACAGGUUGCAAAGAUAAGUUAGGGACAUCUGUCUGUUUUCGGGAAGUGAGGACAGUGACCCCAUAUGGGAAUCAGAACAUGGCAUUGCUCCUUAGAGAUACAUUCCAUCCCUGUCAAGGUCAUCUCUGUAUACGAGACAGAGGUUGGCUUCUCCCUAGCAGUGGGGAGUGGGGAGUGGUGUGUUCUUCUGAGACUCUGUAACAUCUACCUCAUGAGGGUUUCCUGGGAAACAGUGAGAUGAUGUUCUGUGCUCUGUUAGACUGUGCUUUGCAAACUGUCCAAUAAAUAGUAGCUACCCAUUGGAAAA